UGUUUGGUGGCUGAGUUAAUAAAGCAAUAGACUGUAGAUCUAUUAACGGAAUUAAGUUUCCCCAACAA
rnacentral:tRNA from 1 species